UUCUUAUGCUUCAAACACAUCCUCAAUACAAAACAUUUUCAUUCCUAUCUAUCUCUUAGCAAUUACACCUUUUGUCCAAUUGAACACUUGAAGUUAAUUCACAUUAAGAAUGGCAAGUUCUCGCAUUGCAAGAUUUUUUAUGGAGGUGGCACCACCACAAUAUGUUUCUGUUAUGAGGCAAAGAGCAUCAAAUAUGAUGGAAACAAUUACCGAAGAGGAUAGAGAAAUUAGCUCACAUGAUAAUCUAAUUUCACUACCUAAAAGUUCAUCUGUAAUUUCAGCUUCAUCUUCAGCAUGUGCCUCUUCUACCAAUGCAAGAGUUAAUACUAGGUACUUUUUGAAUGAAGUUCAUAGAACACUCUCAAGUUUGAACAAUUGAACCACUUUGAGGCAUAUAAAGCUGCUAUAUUUCUUUUUAUUGUUCUUCUUCUCUUCUCUUUUAUGUUAUCAUGUUCGAUGUUUUAUAUGAACAAGGAUAGUUAAGACUUGAGAAUCUAAUGUAACAUUAGGAAUUCAUGUUCAAUGUUUUGCUAUGAUGUACAUAAUUUUCUAUCAAUAAAAACUCAAAUCUACCACAAGUUUUGGCAUGCAUAACAAAUGUGUAAUAGCAUCUUUUUUACAAGAUUUACCAUUACCAAACCUAUUUUCUAGGAAACCUUGUUUGUAGCAAACAAAAUUUUGUUGUAUAAUUUCGUUAAUCGUACCAGAUGUGUAUCUGGAAUGAAUACUCGUGCGACACUUGUGUGACACUAUUUUUUCUCAUUACUUCAUUGCGAGUAACACUUGCUUGUAGCUUUCUCAUAUAUCAAUAUUUAUUAAUUAGUAGUUAUUGAAUUUCAAGAUAACUCGGACAAUUAACACUUGACAUGUUUAGGGUGUUUAAAUUUUAAAUGAUUAAAAUGUUCAAAUUCAAACAUAUAUAAGUUAAAACUGCAAACUCAUCCAAGAAAAUCAUAAACCGCACAAUAUCAAAUAUGAUUAUAUGUGUUUGGAUGUCCAUCAACCAAUCUAAAGUCAAUUGUAUGAAAUUGAAUCAAAUUAAAUUGGUUUCUUUUAAUGAAUCGUUUGAACCAAACUGAACCGCAUACAACGGCGAAGCUCACACAAUUUUUACGAGGGGGCCAAAUAUGAAGAAUAAAUCAAAUAUAUUUUAAAACUAAUAUAUUAAACUUAAUCAAUAAAUAAAAUAAUUUUACAUUAAUUUUUACUUAUAUUUAAUGAAACGACAACGAAGAAAAUAAAAGUUAAACAAUAGUUAUUUAUAAAAUUUGAGCUUUAUGGAGUUGUAAGAACUUAAAUUUAUCCAUAAUUGACACUACUAAAUAUAUUAUCGAUACUUGUGCAAUAUCAUCUCUCUUUAAACCAAUAAAAUUGUUUGGAGUAGCCAAAUAAUAUAUUAAUGGGAUAACUACAUAUAAACCUAUACCAAUUAUUCAAGUUUUUUUUUCUUCUUAUUUUGGGGUAGCCAAUGCUACCCAAUGGCUAUGAAGCCAAUAGUUGAACGCAUAUCAUAUUUUUUUUUUAGUAUCAAUUGUUUUUUUCCUCAAAUCCGAUCGAAACUGCACCUUGAACACUCCUUCAAAAAAGAUGACACAUUCAUAUAGGAGAAGAGUGGGGGAAAAAACAGCACAUGAAAAGAAACUCCCGUAUUUCAAUAUAUUUACCCUUUAAUUUACAACAUUCUGAUUAAAUAACAUGAAACCAGUUCAAUUACAAGUGUUUUCGAUAUAUUGGAAAAUUUGUCUGUACAUACAAGUAUUAAUAACAUUCUCAAAAAGACAAUUUGGCAUGCAUGCGGUCGUAUAACACAAAUGUUCUUCUAAACGCCAACAAAUCGGUUUCUGCAAUUUCUUAAAAGUAUUGUGUACUAUUAAAAAUUUUGGAGUCUCCCACCGUUGAUAAAUAUGGCUUCCUCCCUUAAACUAUUUUUUUGAAUUGAUGGAAUAUGGUGGAAUAUUAUGGUUUUCAUUGUUUGGAUUUAAAAAAAAAAAAAUGAAUGGGAUCCAUCUCAUCAUUCCAUCAUUUCUUCACAUUUUUCAUUCCUCUCAAUUUGGGAGGUACACGAUGAAAUGGAGCUUUUAAUCUUAUAAUUAAGUUUUUCUUCCACUAUUUAUUUCAUCACGUAGUGAGGAGUGAUAUUUAAAGGGAAAGAAAGUGUUCAGAAUUCAUCAAAAAAAAGCAUUGACCGAUUAAAAUGCUUGCUUUUGCACAAUACAUAGAAAGGAGAGAAAAUGUCAACAUGAUAGAGAAAAUGAAAAUGCAAGUUCAACUAUUUCAAUAAUUUACUGGGGGGCUCUCAACUCCUCCUUUUAGUUGCUUGUAUAUAAUUCAUGGGUUCAACUUCAUUGAAUUUUUAAGGAACCUCAUUGAAUUAUUAGUGGGUGAAAAUAACGAAGUAAAUGAUGGAAAAUAAAAUUUAUGUAAACGAUAUAUAAUAUAAAGUUUUAAUGAUUAUAAUUAAAGAUAAUAUGUAGUCAAGGUUCAACUAUUUCAAUGAUAUAACUGUUAUGAUUCAAUGCGUGUUUAAAAUAUUUAUAUAAAUUAAAUUCAUAAGAUAUAUAAUAUGUUUUAUUAACAAUGUUUUUAAAUAAGGGUAAAAAAUGAAUAAAAAUUGUAUAACUACUUCCAUUUCACUCACUUUUCAAAUGAUGAAAUGAAAAUGUUAGUCCUCUCAGUUUCACGUCCUUCUCUUUCACAGUAGUCCGUUCUUUUUUUUGUCAGAUAACCUAGUGGCUAAAAUUUAAUUUAUAAGGUGAAUAAAUGGGAUAUCUAGGGUUCGAACCUCGACUCCUGCAUAUAAUAAUGCAUUGUCCUAUCAAUUUAUCAACUGAGUUAUACUCACGGAACCUGUAGUCCGUUGUUUUAUGUUUCAUCAAUAUAAACAGUGAUGCUUGGUUUAUGCACCAAUUUGUUCUACAAAAAUAAUUAUUAUAUAUCAAGUUGGUACACCUAUAUGAUCGAUCGUCUAAAAAGUGGUAGUUAGCACUCCUAGACCGUGGUUUUUUUUUUAUGACAAAUAUUACUAGAUUAAUUGUUAUUUUACUUUUUUUUUUCUCCUUUCCACGACUUGGUAUUUUUUUUAAUGAAAAAUAUUAGUAUGUUAAUUUUUUUCUCUUCUUAUUACGGCUUGUAUCCCAGACCUCCAACUUCUUAACAUUUAAUUCAAACUAGUUAAUUGAGCUAUCCAAUCUCUCUAACAAAAAUAUUGUAUUUAACCAAUAAUCAAUCAUUUUCUAAUUUCCCAUCCGAAUUGUCCUUCAAACUCUCCGAAAAAGUACGAUCUAUCCGGUUUACAAUGUCAUAUAUUCUAGUUGCUGGAUGAAAAAUGUAUGUUGAUAGAUGGUAAUAUAGCACUUAUGUGACAUUAGAGAGAAACAUGUCAAACAAGCACUUGAAUGUUAUAUAAAUAAUUAUUAGUUAUAAUGACAACACAAACAAUGUUUGUCUUUGUCAUUUUAAGUGCUGAGUUUGAAUCCGAGUUAAGUAAAACAGUAGUUGUUGAAUCCUAAUCAAUUAAAAUUAUAUCAAUAUUUGUCAAAGCUGAUCCAUUAGAGGCAUGACAUCCCCAAGUAAAACAGUAGUUGGUUGUCACUUCCUAUAAGAAUAUUGGGAUUCUUAUAGGGUACUGAAACUAUGUCAUCGCCAAGAAAAUUAAUUAGUAAUGAAACUAUAUGUGAAUUUAAGCCUAGUUAAUUAUUUCUGGCCACCCCUUAUAAAUUGAACCAUGUUUUUGUGCUUCAUUCCAAUCUACUAUCUACUAUCACUUGGCAAUUACACAUUUUUCCACAAUUAAACACUUGAAAUUAAUUCACAUUUAGAAAAAAGACAAAUUCUCGGAUUAUAAGGUUUUUCAUGAAAGUGGCACCACCACAAUAUGUUUCUGUGAUGAGGCAUAGAACAUCAAAUAUGAUUGAAACAACUAGUCUAAUUUCAAAACCUAAAAGUUCAUCUG
rnacentral:lncRNA from 1 species